rnacentral:rRNA from 1 species
AUGGAGGUGAAGGCGAAGCCGGCGAGGGGCGGGAAGAGGACCAGGGCAAGCGUCGGCACGGCCGGGACGCCGACGGAGAAGCUACUGAUGGAGAAGAAAGACUCGGAGAAGGAGAGGCGGCAGCGCAUGAAGGCGCUCUGCGACAAGCUAGCGUCCCUCAUCCCCAAAGAAGACAACCCCCACGCUGAUACAGUGACCCAACUAGGCAGCCUGGAUGUGGCCGCAUCAUACAUCAAGAAGCUCAAGGAGAGGGUAGAUGAGCUGCAACGUAAGAAGGCCUCAAUGCAAGCCAUGGCUACCUCACGGGGAGUUAAUGACAUCAGAACGCCCACAACCACCACAAACACAAGUAGCGGUGCCGGGUCACUGGAAGGAGAAAAAUAUUUGGAGGCAUCACCAACAGUAGUGGAGGUGCGACAAUCCGACGAAUCAAGCAUGGAGGUGCGGCUGAUAUGCAGCACGAAGAGACCGAUCAAGCUCCAUGAGGUGAUCACCAUUCACGAAGAAGAAGGGGCCGACAUCGUCAACGCCAAUCAUUCUGUUGCUGGCCACAAAAUAUUUUACACUAUACACUCCCGGGCCUUCAGCACAAGAAUUGGCAUAGAUGUUUCAAGAAUUAACGAACGACUGAGAGCAUUGGUAUGA